UACGUAGGGGGCUAGCGUUGUCCGGAAUCAUUGGGCGUAAAGAGCGUGUAGGCGGCCCGGUAAGUCCGCUGUAAAAGUCAAAGGCUCAACCUUUGAAUGCCGGUGGAUACUGUCGGGCUAGAGUGCGGAAGAGGCGAGUGGAAUUCCUGGUGUAGCGGUGAAAUGCGCAGAUAUCAGGAGGAACACCUAUUGCGAAGGCAGCUCGCUGGGACGUAACUGACGCUGAGACGCGAAAGCGUGGGGAGCAAACAGG
rnacentral:rRNA from 1 species